UUAUUUCGUAAAUCUAAAGGAGAAGAAAAUAAUGCUGUCAGAAAAUUAAAUUCUACUGAUCAUCAAAGUCUUUCACUUGCUUUUUAAGAUUUAACUGUACUUGUGCUAUAUAAUUUCUAAUAAGGAUCAUUCAUUAUUUAAUGGGUUUUUGUGCAAUUUCUUAAUGAAAAAGAGAUUAAAGGAAUAUUCUAGUAGCA
rnacentral:lncRNA from 1 species